GGCGUGUACUGCUUGGCUGGGCCUUACUUCUUGGUGAGCCGGCGUGCCCUUUAUUGGUGUGCGUCGGGGAACCAGGACUUUUACCUUGAGAAAAUUAGAGUGUUCAAAGCAGGCCUAUGCCUGAAUACAUUAGCAUGGAAUAAUAGAAUAGGACGUGCGGUUCUAUUUUGUUGGUUUCUAGAGUCGCAGUAAUGAUUAAUAGGGACAGUUGGGGGCAUUGGUAUUGAGUCGCUAGAGGUGAAAUUCUUGGAUUGACUCAAGACCGACUAUUGCGAAAGCAUUUGCCAAGGAUGUUUUCAUUAAUCAAGAACGAAGGUUAGGGGAUCGAAAACGAUCAGAUACCGUUGUAGUCUUAACAGUAAACUAUGCCGACUAGGGAUCGGAUGACCUCAAAAUUGAUGUGUCAUUCGGCACCUUACGAGAAAUCAAAGUCUUUGGGUUUUGGGGGGAGUAUGGUCGCAAGGCUGAAACUUAAAGGAAUUGACGGAAGGGCACCACCAGGUGUGGAGCCUGCGGCUUAAUUUGACUCAACACGGGGAAACUCACCAGGUCCAGACAUAACUAGGAUUGACAGAUUGAUAGCUCUUUCAUGAUUUUAUGGGUGGUGGUGCAUGGCCGUUCUUAGUUGGUGGAGUGAUUUGUCUGGUUAAUUCCGAUAACGAACGAGACCUUAACCUGCUAAAUAGCCAGGCCGGCUUCGGCUGGUCUCUGGCUUCUUAGAGGGACUGUCAG
rnacentral:rRNA from 1 species